rnacentral:rRNA from 1 species
UGGGGAAUUGUUCGCAAUGGGCGCAAGCCUGACGACGCAACGCCGCGUGGAGGAUGAAGAAUUUCGGUUCGUAAACUGCUGUCGAGCGGGACGAAAGAUGCGUGGGUUAAUACCCCGCGCAAGUGACGGUACCGCUAAAGGAAGCCCCGGCUAACUACGUGCCAGCAGCCGCGGUAAUACGUAGGGAGCAAGCGUUGUUCGGAUUUACUGGGCGUAAAGGGCGCGUAGGCGGCAUGUUAAGUCAGCUGUGAAAUCUCCGAGCUUAACUCGGAACUGUCAGCUGAUACUGAUGUGCUAGAGUGCAGAAGGGGCAAUCGGAAUUCUUGGUGUAGCGGUGAAAUGCGUAGAUAUCAAGAGGAACACCUGAGGUGAAGACGGGUUGCUGGGCUGACACUGACGCUGAGGCGCGAAAGCCAGGGGAGCAAA